GCUUACGGCCAUACCACCUUGGGCAUGCCCGAUCUUGUCUGAUCUCGGAAGUUAAGCAGGGUCGGGCCUGGUUAGUACUUGGAUGGGUGACCGCCUGGGAAUACCAGGUGCUGUAAGCA
rnacentral:rRNA from 1 species